AACGGCAGGCGAGUCUUCGCGAAUAUCCUAUGUAUAUCUCGAAUAUGCCUACCCGAGCGAUAUGGGAGCGAUAUAUUUUUGCAAAUAUUUUGACGCGAUGGCAGCGCCAUGUGGUAGAAUGAAGAAAUAUUAAUGAAAGCAGUCGUGUUGACGGAUGUCAUUGUCAUUUCAUCCAAGAAUGCAAGGAAAAAAUUUUAAUUUCAAUUUCAAUGUAUAAUUUUUAUUUUCGCCUAAUUUUUCAGGGAUCAAAAGACGCAAACAAAACAUCUUUAUACGUAUAUUCAAAGAAUAAUUUGUAUUAAGCAAACCUUAGUCAAUACAGGUGAUUCUGGAUAUGCUCUAAGUCAGUUGAUGUUGACAUCCAUCCAAAAUGCAUUGCCUGCUACUCUAGAAGAAAUAUUCAUCACAGAAGAACUGAAUCCCCUAUAGAGAGAUGCAAUGGGAUUUUAAAAUGGAGGCAUAGAAUUUUACACUCCAACCAUGGCUGAAUAAAAUAAAUAAUAAUGCAUGCACUGUGCUGCACAAUUUGUGCAUUGGUAUGCAUAAUGUACCCCCUAUUGGUUUAGGUGAUGAAGAAAACAAUCAUAUAGAUAUUGAUUAUGGACAUGUCAAUGGAAUAAAUAUAGAAGGUAGAAUUCGUGAUAGAGAUCUGCUCACAGGAAGAAGACUCCAACAAAUGCUAAUUCAAAUUAAUUUUAGAAAUUAAUUCAGUAAGUUUGGAAAAAUGUAUGUUCUGUGUUAUUUGUACUUUAUGUAAAUAUUGUUCUGAAGCUAUUUUCUUGUGGCAUUUUUAUGAUUAACUAUUUAGAUGGGAAAUAAGCCACAAUUAAAUUGAAAAAAAUAAUUUUAUUAACGUUUCGACGUCCAAAUCGGGUGUCGUUGUCAAAAUACAAAAGACUACUAAAUUAAACAAAAAUGUUGCUAAGUAAAAAAUUCUUCUAAUAAUUUAUUUAAUCUGACUCAUUUAUAUUGGCAAUUCAGACAUAUAUUAUACAUUUUAAAGUAGAAGACUUUAAAAUGAUAUUGCCAAUAUUUAUGAGUUGCGUUCCUGGGACGACUUAACUGAAAGAUAGUUCAUUCGAUUACAUGAAAUCAACCUUAACUCAAGAAUAUCCAUCACAAAAAAAAUCAUAGCAUGUGAUCUGUCUUUAAAAAGACAACCAAAUGCAAAAAAAGUGAUUUACUAUGGAAUCUCUAACGCGAGAAUUUUACUGUCAUCGUUGCAUUUGGUUGUCUUUUUAAAGACAGAUCACAUGCUAUGUUUUUUUUUGUGACGGAUGUUCUUGAGUUGAGGUUGAUUUCAUGUAAUCGAAUGAACUAUCUUUCAGUAAAUUCGUCCCAGGAACGCAACUCAUAAAUAUUGGCAAUAUCAUUUUAAAGUCUUCUACUUUAAAAUGUAUAAUAUAUGUCUGAAUUGCCAAUAUAAAUGAGUCAAAUUAAAUAAAUUAUUAGAAGAAUUUUUUACUUAGCAACAACAUUUUUGUUUAAUUUAGUAGUAUUUUGUAUUUUGACAACGACAUCCGAGUUGGGUGUCGAAACGUUAAUAAAAUUAUUUAUUUAAUUGUGGCUUAUUUCCUAUCUAAAUAGUUAAUUAUGUAAAUAUGUAGUGUGUUAGCUGUUGUUUUAUGAACAACAUAAAACAUUAUGUGAAAUAUUGACUGUAUGUUAUCCAUGACACAGAACAAAAGUUAAAAUGCAUGUUUUUACAUUUGUAGCCUUUUAAUAACCUUAUCAUAAUAUAAUAAAAUAAAUGCAAAGAAAUUUAUGUCUCAGUAAGUUGGAACCAUGGACGUAUAAAUAAAGAUAUAUCUUUAUUUAUACGUCCAUGGUUGGAACCAUAUGAAAAACUUUUUUAUUAUCAAUUUUAGGAACAAGUUAUUCUUUAUAAAAGCUUUGCAUGAUUUGAAACCUUUAAACAACCAUCAAAUAUAAAAAAUUUUCAGUUGUAUACUAGGUUUGUCAAAAAAUAUGAAUUUUAUUAAAGAGUAAACUACCUUUCAUUUUUCACAAUAUCCAAAAUUAUUAUUAACCCUAGAACCACGAAGUGGGGUCACCUGUGACCCCACCGCUCAAAUUUUUUUGACAUGCGAGUUACUCCGAUGAUACGUAUGUUUUUAUGAAAGUUUACAUUUAGUCGUAAAUGCAGCACAUUUCUGAUUUUUGACCCCACCUGAGGAUAGAAAAGGCUGCUAUAUUUGUGUUUACUGUGCAGAACAUCAAUUUAGUAUUUGUAAAGAUUGUAAAUAAUAUAAAAAUAAACUAUUCAACUUCUAA
rnacentral:lncRNA from 1 species